rnacentral:rRNA from 1 species
CCUACGGGCGGCUGCAGUGGGGAAUAUUGGACAAUGGGGGCAACCCUGAUCCAGCCAUGCCGCGUGUGUGAAGAAGGCCCUCGGGUUGUAAAGCACUUUCAGUGAGGAAGAACGCCUGGUGGUUAAUACCCAUCAGGAAAGACAUCACUCACAGAAGAAGCACCGGCUAACUCCGUGCCAGCAGCCGCGGUAAUACGGAGGGUGCGAGCGUUAAUCGGAAUUACUGGGCGUAAAGCGCGCGUAGGUGGCUUGAUAAGCCGGUUGUGAAAGCCCCGGGCUCAACCUGGGAACAGCAUCCGGAACUGUCAAGCUAGAGUGCAGGAGAGGAAGGUAGAAUUCCCGGUGUAGCGGUGAAAUGCGUAGAGAUCGGGAGGAAUACCAGUGGCGAAGGCGGCCUUCUGGACUGACACUGACACUGAGGUGCGAAAGCGUGGGUAGCAAACAGGAUUAGAUACCCUGGUAGUC